rnacentral:rRNA from 1 species
GGUCAAGUGAAGAAGCGCAUACGGUGGAUGCCUUGGCAGUCAGAGGCGAUGAAAGACGUGGUAGCCUGCGAAAAGCUUCGGGGAGUCGGCAAACAGACUUUGAUCCGGAGAUCUCUGAAUGGGGGAACCCACCUAGGAUAACCUAGGUAUCUUGUACUGAAUCCAUAGGUGCAAGAGGCGAACCAGGGGAACUGAAACAUCUAAGUACCCUGAGGAAAAGAAAUCAACCGAGAUUCCCUUAGUAGUGGCGAGCGAACGGGGAUUAGCCCUUAAGCUUCAUUGAUUUUAGCGGAACGCUCUGGAAAGUGCGGCCAUAGUGGGUGAUAGCCCCGUACGCGAAAGGAUCUUUGAAGUGAAAUCGAGUAGGACGGAGCACGAGAAACUUUGUCUGAACAUGGGGGGACCAUCCUCCAAGGCUAAAUACUACUGACUGACCGAUAGUGAACCAGUACCGUGAGGGAAAGGCGAAAAGAACCCCGGAGAGGAGUGAAAUAGAACCUGAAACCGUAUGCGUACAAGCAGUGGGAGCCUACUUGUUAGGUGACUGCGUACCUUUUGUAUAAUGGGUCAGCGACUUAUAUUCAGUGGCAAGCUUAACCGUAUAGGGUAGGCGUAGCGAAAGCGAGUCUUAAUAGGGCGUUUAGUCGCUGGGUAUAGACCCGAAACCGGGCGAUCUAUCCAUGAGCAGGUUGAAGGUUAGGUAACACUGACUGGAGGACCGAACCCACUCCCGUUGAAAAGGUAGGGGAUGACUUGUGGAUCGGAGUGAAAGGCUAAUCAAGCUCGGAGAUAGCUGGUUCUCCUCGAAAGCUAUUUAGGUAGCGCCUCAUGUAUCACUCUGGGGGGUAGAGCACUGUUUCGGCUAGGGGGUCAUCCCGACUUACCAAACCGAUGCAAACUCCGAAUACCCAGAAGUGCCGAGCAUGGGAGACACACGGCGGGUGCUAACGUCCGUCGUGAAAAGGGAAACAACCCAGACCGCCAGCUAAGGUCCCAAAGUUGUGGUUAAGUGGUAAACGAUGUGGGAAGGCUUAGACAGCUAGGAGGUUGGCUUAGAAGCAGCCAUCCUUUAAAGAAAGCGUAAUAGCUCACUAGUCGAGUCGGCCUGCGCGGAAGAUGUAACGGGGCUCAAACCACACACCGAAGCUGCGGGUGUCACGUAAGUGACGCGGUAGAGGAGCGUUCUGUAAGCCUGUGAAGGUGAGUUGAGAAGCUUGCUGGAGGUAUCAGAAGUGCGAAUGCUGACAUGAGUAACGACAAUGGGUGUGAAAAACACCCACGCCGAAAGACCAAGGGUUCCUGCGCAACGUUAAUCGACGCAGGGUUAGUCGGUUCCUAAGGCGAGGCUGAAAAGCGUAGUCGAUGGGAAACAGGUUAAUAUUCCUGUACUUCUGGUUACUGCGAUGGAGGGACGGAGAAGGCUAGGCCAGCUUGGCGUUGGUUGUCCAAGUUUAAGGUGGUAGGCUGAAAUCUUAGGUAAAUCCGGGGUUUCAAGGCCGAGAGCUGAUGACGAGUCGUCUUUUAGAUGACGAAGUGGUUGAUGCCAUGCUUCCAAGAAAAGCUUCUAAGCUUCAGGUAACCAGGAACCGUACCCCAAACCGACACAGGUGGUCGGGUAGAGAAUACCAAGGCGCUUGAGAGAACUCGGGUGAAGGAACUAGGCAAAAUGGCACCGUAACUUCGGGAGAAGGUGCGCCGGCUAGUGAAGGAUUUACUCCGUAAGCUCUGGCUGGUCGAAGAUACCAGGCCGCUGCGACUGUUUAUUAAAACACAGCACUCUGCAAACACGAAAGUGGACGUAUAGGGUGUGACGCCUGCCCGGUGCCGGAAGGUUAAUUGAUGGGGUUAGCGCAAGCGAAGCUCUUGAUCGAAGCCCCGGUAAACGGCGGCCGUAACUAUAACGGUCCUAAGGUAGCGAAAUUCCUUGUCGGGUAAGUUCCGACCUGCACGAAUGGCGUAACGAUGGCGGCGCUGUCUCCACCCGAGACUCAGUGAAAUUGAAAUCGCUGUGAAGAUGCAGUGUAUCCGCGGCUAGACGGAAAGACCCCGUGAACCUUUACUGUAGCUUUGCACUGGACUUUGAGCCUGCUUGUGUAGGAUAGGUGGGAGGCUUUGAAGCGUGGACGCCAGUUCGCGUGGAGCCAUCCUUGAAAUACCACCCUGGCAUGCUUGAGGUUCUAACUCUGGUCCGUGAUCCGGAUCGAGGACAGUGUAUGGUGGGCAGUUUGACUGGGGCGGUCUCCUCCUAAAGAGUAACGGAGGAGUACGAAGGUGCGCUCAGACCGGUCGGAAAUCGGUCGCAGAGUAUAAAGGCAAAAGCGCGCUUGACUGCGAGACAGACACGUCGAGCAGGUACGAAAGUAGGUCUUAGUGAUCCGGUGGUUCUGUAUGGAAGGGCCAUCGCUCAACGGAUAAAAGGUACUCCGGGGAUAACAGGCUGAUACCGCCCAAGAGUUCAUAUCGACGGCGGUGUUUGGCACCUCGAUGUCGGCUCAUCACAUCCUGGGGCUGAAGCCGGUCCCAAGGGUAUGGCUGUUCGCCAUUUAAAGUGGUACGCGAGCUGGGUUUAGAACGUCGUGAGACAGUUCGGUCCCUAUCUGCCGUGGACGUUUGAGAUUUGAGAGGGGCUGCUCCUAGUACGAGAGGACCGGAGUGGACGAACCUCUGGUGUUCCGGUUGUCACGCCAGUGGCAUUGCCGGGUAGCUAUGUUCGGAAAAGAUAACCGCUGAAAGCAUCUAAGCGGGAAACUUGCCUCAAGAUGAGAUCUCACUGGGAACUUGAUUCCCCUGAAGGGCCGUCGAAGACUACGACGUUGAUAGGCUGGGUGUGUAAGCGUUGUGAGGCGUUGAGCUAACCAGUACUAAUUGCCCGUGAGGCUUGACCAU